CAAAUUAAAGUUAAUUAUUUAACAUUUUAUUUACAAUAAAAUUUUUAAUUGUGAAAUUCAAUUAUAAUUUGA
rnacentral:tRNA from 1 species